UGCAAUGGAGCAGACUAAAACCAUGUACUUCGUCCUUCUGAAGUUGCAGCAGAGUGGAUUGAAGCUAAAAGUUGUAUCUCCCUGAAGCGCAGUAGAAUGGAUUGAAGCAAUAAGACACAGUGGACUGGAAAGAGGCUACUUGAAGAAGAAAGGCACCAGAACAAGUCAAAAAUCGAUGAGACCGGACAAAAUUGGUCUUCCUUAGUCUUUACUUUGUUCCCGUUACACGACAACGAGUAAAGAGGGGCCAGGCG
rnacentral:lncRNA from 1 species